rnacentral:rRNA from 1 species
GUGGCAGACGGGUGAGUAACGCGUGGGAAUCUACCUAGUUCUACGGAACAACAGUUGGAAACGACUGCUAAUACCGUAUACGCCCUACGGGGGAAAGAUUUAUCGGAAUUAGAUGAGCCCGCGUAAGAUUAGCUAGUUGGUGAGGUAAUGGCUCACCAAGGCGACGAUCUUUAGCUGGUCUGAGAGGAUGAUCAGCCACACUGGGACUGAGACACGGCCCAGACUCCUACGGGAGGCAGCAGUGGGGAAUAUUGGACAAUGGGCGCAAGCCUGAUCCAGCCAUGCCGCGUGAGUGAUGAAGGCCUUAGGGUUGUAAAGCUCUUUCACCGAUGAAGAUAAUGACGGUAGUCGGAGAAGAAGCCCCGGCUAACUUCGUGCCAGCAGCCGCGGUAAUACGAAGGGGGCUAGCGUUGUUCGGAUUUACUGGGCGUAAAGCGCACGUAGGCGGUUUGUUAAGUGAGAGGUGAAAUC